rnacentral:rRNA from 1 species
CCCUUAGAUGUUCUGGGCUGCACGCGCGCUACACUGUCGGAUUCAGCGAGUCAUAUCCUUAACCGAAAGGUUUGGGUAAUCUUUUGAAAGUCCGACGUGAUGGGGAUUGAUCAUUGCAAUUAUUGAUCAUGAACGAGGAAUUCCUAGUAAGCGCGAGUCAUCAGCUCGCGUUGAUUACGUCCCUGCCCUUUGUACACACCGCCCGUCGCUACUACCGAUUGGAUGGUUUAGUGAGAUCUUCGGAUUGGCGCCUACGCGGCUUCUCUGAGGCCACGCUGGAUGCCGAAAAGUUGCUCAAACUGUAUCAUUUAGAGGAAGUAAAAGUCGUAACA